CGCUCAGCAACUCUCCUGGUACUUGAAGGGAGUUCGACCGUGUUAUAUUCGCUUUAUUGACUUCGAAUAAUACAUGGUUGGUCUUUUCUCAAUAUCAUAUCUCACCCUGGAGGAUC
rnacentral:precursor_RNA from 12 species